rnacentral:rRNA from 1 species
GAGUGAGUAACAGGUAGCCAACCUACCUUUCACACGGAAAUAGGUCUUCGAAAGAAGGAUUAAUACCAGAUAUAAUAUAUUUGUGACCUGACUAAUAUAUGAAAGAUUUAUCGGUGUUAGAUGGGGAUGCGUUCCAUUAGACAGUUGGUGAGGUAACGGCUCACCAAAUCUACGAUGGAUAGGGGUUCUGAGAGGAAGACCCCCCACAUUGGGACUGAGACACGGCCCAAACUCCCACGGGAGGCAGCAGUGAGGAAUAUUGGUCAAUGGACGAGAGUCUGAACCAGCCAAGUAGCGUGCACAGGAUGACUGCCCUAUGGGUUGUAAACUUCUUUUAUAGGGGAAUAAAAUGCACCACGUGCUGGUGUUUUGUAUGUACCCUACGAAUAAGGAUCGGCUAACUCCGUGCCAGCAGCCGCGGUAAUACGGAGGAUCCGAGCGUUAUCCGGAUUUAUUGGGUUUAAAGGGUGCGCAGGCGGACUGAUAAGUCAGCUGUGAAAGUUUACGGCUCAACCGUGAAAUUGCAGUUGAAACUGUCAGUCUUGAGUACACAUGAGGUGAGCGGAAUUUGUGGUGUAGCGGUGAAAUGCUUAGAUAUCACAAGGAACUCCAAUUGCGAAGGCAGCUCACUGGGGUGUAACUGACGCUCAUGCACGAAGGUGUGGGUAUCAAACAGGAUUAGAUACCCUGGUAGUCCACACAGUAAACGAUGAAUACUCGCUGUUUGCGAUAUACAGUAAGCGGCCAAGCGAAAGCAUUAAGUAUUCCACCUGGGGAGUACGCCGGCAACGGUGAAACUCAAAGGAAUUGACGGGGGCCGCACAAGCGGAGGAACAUGUGGUUUAAUUCGAUGAUACGCGAGGAACCUUACCUGGGCUUAAAUUGCAACUGACAGGACCCGAAACGGUCCCUUCUUCGGACAGUUGUGAAGGUGCUGCAUGGUUGUCGUCAGCUCGUGCCGUGAGGUGUCGGCUUAAGUGCCAUAACGAGCGCAACCCCUAUUGCUAGUUACUAACAGGUCAUGCUGAGGACUCUAGCGAGACUGCCGUCGUAAGAUGAGAGGAAGGUGGGGAUGACGUCAAAUCAGCACGGCCCUUACGUCCAGGGCGACACACGUGUUACAAUGGGUAAGACAGAGGGCAGCUACCUGGUGACAGGAUGCUAAUCCCAUAAACUUACUCUCAGUUCGGAUCGAAGUCUGCAACUCGACUUCGUGAAGCUGGAUUCGCUAGUAAUCGCGCAUCAGCCAUGGCGCGGUGAAUACGNUCCCGGCCCU